AUGUCCACACCACAGCUCCUGUGUCUACACCACAGGUCCCACAUCCACACCACAGCUCCAUGUCCACACCACAGCUUUGAUGUCCACACGAAAGUUCUGUGUCUAUACCACAGCUCCGUGUCUACACAACAGCUCUGUGUCCACACCACAGCUCUGUGUCCAUACCACAGCUCCCACAUCCACACAACAGCUCCUGUGUUUACACCACAGCUCCUCUGCCCACAUCCCAGCUCCGUGUCCACACCGCAGCUCUGUGUCUACACCACAGUUCCCGUGUCCACACCACAGCUCCGUGUCUACACCGCAGCUCCGUGUCCACACCACAGCUCCGUGUCCACACCACAGCUCCGUGUCUACACCACAGCUCCUGUGUCUACACCACAAUUCCUGUGUCUACACCACAGCUCCCACAUCCAUACCACAGCUCUGUGCCCACACCACAGCUCCCAUGUCCACACUGCAGCUCUGUGUCUACACCACAGCUCUGUGCCCACAACACAGCUCCCAUGUCCACACCACAGCUCUGUGUCCACACCACAGCUCUGUGUCCCUGCUGCAGCUCCCAUGCCCGUGCCACAGCUCCCGGGUACUGCCGUCUGGCGUGUGGAGCGUCCCCAGACUGGGGUAGCACGUCAGUGGCCCUGUUGGGCCGGGGUCUCAGGGCAGUGGAGCCCUGUCCCAUGUCCAGCCAGGCUCGGUCCUGCUGGGCAUUCUCUGCAGCAGCCAAGCUCCCAGCGCCCAGCAAGCACGGCUCCGGGGGGGCUCCGGGGGGCUCCGGGGGAGUUCUGUGGGGCUCCGGGGGAGUUCUGUGGGGCUCCGGGGGCUCUGAGGGGCUCCAUGGGGGUUCUGUGGGGCUCCGGGGGCUCCAUGGGGGUUCUGUGGGGCUCCGGGGGGCUCCAUGGGGGUUCUGUGGGCUCCAGGGGGCUCCAUGGGGUUCUGUGGGCUCCAGGGGGCUCCGUGGGGUUCUGUGGGGCUCCAUGGGGGUUCUGUGGGGCUCCGGGGGGCUCCAUGGGGGUUCUGUGGGCUCCAGGGAGCUCCAUGGGGAUCUGUGGGGCUCCGGAGGGCUCCAUGGUGGUUCUGUGGGGCUCCAUGGGGGUUCUGUGGGGCUCCGGGGGGCUCCAUGGGGGUUCUGUGGGGCUCCAGGGGGUUCUGUGGGGCUCUGAAGGGCUCCAGGGGGGCUCCAGGAGGCUCCAGGGGCUCCAUGGGGGUUCUGUGGGGCUCCGGGGGGCUCCAGGGAGCUCCGGCGGUCUCCGGGGGGCUCCAUGGUGGUUCUGUGGGGCUCCGGGGGGUUCUGUGGGGCUCCAUGGGGGCUCCAGGGAGCUCCGGCAGUCUCCAGGGGGCUCCAUGGGGGUUCUGUGGGGCUCCAUGGGGCUCUGGGGGGCUCCAUGGGGGUUCUGUGGGGCUCCGGGGGCUCCAUGGGGGUUCUGUGGGGCUCCAUGGGGCUCUGGGGGGGCUCCAUGGGGGUUCUGGGGGGCUCCAUGGGGGUUCUGGGGGGCUCCGGGGGGCUCCGGGGGCUCCAUGGGGCUCCGGGGGCUCCAGGGGGCUCCAUGGGGGUUCUGUGCGGCUCUGGGGAGCUCCAGGGGCUCCGGGGGCUCCAGGGCCUCCGUGGGGCUCCGUGGGGCAACCCUGCCCUGA
rnacentral:lncRNA from 1 species